AGCAGCCGCGGUAAUUCCAGCUCCAAUAGCGUAUAUUAAAGUUGUUGCAGUUAAAAAGCUCGUAGUUGAAUUUCGGGAUCAAUAUGUUGGUCGUGCCUUGGUACGUACUAGUUUAUUGGUUUCUUCCUUCUGACGAACCAUGAUGUCAUUAAUUUGGUGUCUUGGGGAAUCAGGACUGUUACUUUGAAAAAUUAGAGUGUUUAAAGCAGGCUCACGCUUGAAUACAUUAGCAUGGAAUAAUGAAAUAGGACGUUUGAUUCUAUUUUGUUGGUUUCUAGGAUCGACGUAAUGAUUAAUAGGGAUAGUUGGGGGCAUUAGUAUUCAAUUGUCAGAGGUGAAAUUCUUGGAUUUAUUGAAGACUAACUACUGGGAAAGCAUUUGCCAAGGAUGUUUUCAUUAAUCAAGAACGAAAGUUAGGGGAUCGAAGACGAGUCAGAUACCGUCGUAGUC
rnacentral:rRNA from 1 species